AUUGAACGCUGGCGGAAUGCUUUACACAUGCAAGUCGAACGGUAGAGGGGCAACCCUUGAGAGUGGCGAACGGGUGAGUAAUGUAUCGGAACAUGCCCAGUCGUGGGGGAUAACGUAGCGAAAGUUACGCUAAUACCGCAUACGAUCCAUGGAUGAAAGCGGGGGAUCGCAAGACCUCGCGCGAUUGGAGUGGCCGAUAUCAGAUUAGGUAGUUGGUGGGGUAAAGGCCUACCAAGCCGACGAUCUGUAGCUGGUCUGAGAGGACGACCAGCCACACUGGGACUGAGACACGGCCCAGACUCCUACGGGAGGCAGCAGUGGGGAAUUUUGGACAAUGGGCGCAAGCCUGAUCCAGCCAUUCCGCGUGCAGGAAGAAGGCCUUCGGGUUGUAAACUGCUUUUGUACGGAACGAAACGCGCUGAGCUAAUACCUCGGCGUAAUGACGGUACCGUAAGAAUAAGCACCGGCUAACUACGUGCCAGCAGCCGCCGUAAAAC
rnacentral:rRNA from 1 species